CUGCAGUGCAGACUGUACCUGGUAUCUCGUCUUUACAUCUCCUCUGUGAGAAGAAUCAUCAUGUCUCAUCACUCCAUCCUUGGGAUCUCUGGACACAAGCAUUUCAGCUCCUGUUCAAUGGCUUCACCUAAACAUGGGAGCUCACAGCACACAUUCUCUCACUCCUCCAACUCUGCAAAUCAUGGUAAGAAGUCAAUACAUUGCUUUAGCAGCAGAAGUGCCUGUGGUAUGGGUUCCAAAGGACACAAAAUCUCACUGGGAAGUUUUUAUUCUGGGAAAAAUGGACACGCAUCUGGACAUGGAUCUGGACACGGAGGUAUUGGCUAUGGAUUUGGGGGAUCAGCAUGCUCUGGAGGCAUCACCCCAGUUACUGUAAACCAAGGUCUUCUGGCCCCUCUCAACCUGGAGAUUGACCCAAGCAUCCAGAGAGUGAGGACUGAUGAAAGAAAUCAAAUUAGGGGUCUGAAUGACAAAUUUGCUUCUUUUAUUGACAAGGUGAGAUUAUUUUACAUGAUAAGUAGAAUAGAGAGAAACAUCUAACCAGCAGAAGAUACAAUAUAUUUUUGUUAUUACACAUCUUUCGAAAAGCCAAUGCUCUUCUCUUGGAUCACUAAUAUCCUCUCAUGACAUGUCCUAUGAGAUGAACAGAGGAAUUUACAAUCUUUGCUUGCUGCAUGAGGUUCCACGGAUAUGGCUUUUAAAAAGUAUUUAUUGUAAAUGUUGAUUCUAACAUCAACCUAAGCUGUCUUCACUCAUGUUUUUUUUUUUCAUGUUUUUUUUUAAUAUUUAAUCUUUAUUGAAAAGUUUUAAUUUUUUUUCCCUUUUUCUUUCGUUGUAUUUAUUUAUUUUUUUUAAAUGUCAUGUUUUUUAAUGUCUUCUAAGAUUGAGUUCUAGUAAAUUUGCUCCACAGACAAUUAUAAGAACAUGUUCAAAUUAUAUAACUUCUUUAUAAAAUGUGUUAUUCAAGAAAGCUAAAUUAAAAUCAAAUAAGUAAUGAAAUUAUUUCCAAUCAACUUUCUAAUUUAAACUUAGGUGCGAUUUCUGGAACAACAAAAUAAAAUGUUGGAGACUAAGUGGACUCUCUUACAAGAACAAAAAACUGCCCAUUAUCAAAUUGAACCCCUGUUUGAAGCUUUUAUCAGUAACCUUAGGAGACAGCUGGGAAACCUGGGAUGUGAAAGAGAACGUCUAGAAGCAGAAAGGAACAGCAUGGAACAAUCUGUGGAAGAAUUAAGGGGAAGGUAUGUUGUUUUUUGUUUGUUUGAUUUUUAAACAAUCAAUUUAUAUAGCUAUAUUCAUGCAUUUACCCAGAAACAAAUUUUUCUGUAUAAUCUCUAGUAUAUUAUUUCACUGUUAAAAAUGAAAAUAAAAUUUUCUAAAGGGGCACUCUAUAUAUAUAUAUAUAUAUAUAUAUAUAUAUAUAUAUAUAUAUAUAUAUAUAUAUAUAUAUAUAUAUAUAUAAAACCACUGUAAUUUAUUGUAGUGGAUUUAAAGCAAAACAUUUUGAGGCAAAAAAGAAACUUCCGCCCAUCAAGUUCUGCUUUUUUCACAUAUGUUUUUGCUGUUGAUCCAAAAGAAGGCAAAACACCCAGUCUGAAGCGCUUUCAGUUUUGCAAAAAAUUGGGAAACACAAUUCCUUCUUGACCCAAAAUGGCAGUCAGAUUUAUCCUUGGAUCAAGCAGCGAUUACCCCACUAAUUAGAAAUGAUAUCCCUUGAUAUUAUGUUUCUGAAGUAUUUAUCAAAUUGCUGCUGAAACAUCUGUAUGGACUCUGAUAAAUCCACAUCUUCAUGCAGGGAAUCCCACAUUCUUAUUGUUCUUACUAUAAAAAAAAACAAAAAAACACACUUUUCCUUGCCUUAGAUGAAAUCUCCAUUCUUCCAGCCUAAAUGCGUGACCUAUGUACAGCUCUGUUUAUGAAUAGAUUUCCAGAUAAUGGUUUGUAUUAGCCCCGAAUAUAUUUGUAUAAUGUUAUCAUAUCCCCUCUGAGACACCAUUUUUCCAAACUAAAUAUUUUAACUUUUCUUUAUAACUAAAAUGCUCUAUUCUACAGCUUGGUUAAUGUGGAAGUAAAUCACGGCAUUAGGCUGACCAACUUUGGUCAGCAACAAUUGCCUGAAACUGCUAACAGUGUGCUCAGUGCAAUGUCUGCCAUUACCACCCAAAGCAGAGGGAUUGUAAAUAUGGGGAGAUCUCUGUUUUUGAGAGACUGAUAGAGAACAAUGUGACAUAACCUGAGGAAAUUUGCAAAAAGACUAUUUGCACUGUCAGUGCUAAAAUAAAACAUAGUUGCCAAGGAUACUUGCAGGUUUACUUGCUAACGUGAGACUGCAAAGUGGCAUCAAAGUGAAUUUCAAAUUUAAGGUCAGAGUAGCCUAAGUGAAUGUAUAGUUGACUUAUAGUAUAGUUGACGUAUAGUUGACCAGUUCAGCUGUUUGACCUUAAAAUUGAAAUUUAGUUUGAAUACUUCUUUUAGUAAAUAACCAGAUUGACCUUUUAACAUGUACACUAGCAAAACAUUUAAUUAAAACUGAAUUCCAUUAAGAAGAAAGGUUUCUGAUAUGUAGCAAUUCUUAAUAAAUGUUAUUAAUAUUUAAUAUUCUAGGUAUGAAGAAGAAGUGAACAGACGCACCGCGGCAGAAAAUGAGUUUGUUGGACUAAAAAGGGUAAAAAGGAAACUCUAUAGAUUUCUAAAAUGUAAAUGAAUAAAUUAUUAUAAAACAGUAGCAAUCCCCUUAAUGUAUAUAUUUCCUUAUUUCAGGAUGUAGACGCAGCUUUUAUGAACAGAGCUGAGUUACAAGGAAAGGCUGAGUCCCUGACUGAUGAGAUCAACUUCUUGAGGACUCUGUAUGAUGCGGUAAAUAUAUUUUCAGAUAUUUCAUUUCUGGAAUUUACUUAAAAGAUUUUAUUUUCUUGAAUAUUUGAAAAGUUCCAUAAAAACACUUUAUCUGCUUUUUAACUUUCUAGGAAAUUUCCCAGCUCCAGGCUCAGAUCUCAGACACCUCAGUGGUUGUGUCCAUGGAUAACAGUCGGGAUCUGGACCUGGAUGGAAUCAUUGCUGAGGUCAGAUCUCAAUAUGAGGACAUUGCUAACAGGAGCAGAGCUGAGGCGGAGGCCAUGUACCAGUCACGGGUGAGUCGAUUGAAGCUCAAGCGCCAACUGAAUUUUAUGCAGAUUAUUAUUCACAGAGUAGCGUAAAACCAAUGCACAUUAUAUGUUUCACUUUUUGGGCAGUUUGAGGAGCUUCGUACAGCUGCAGGAAGAAAUGGAAAUAAUCUGCAGAGCAGCCGAGAUGAGAUCUGUGAGCUGAACCGAACAAUUCAAAGAAUGAAGGGAGAGAUUGACAGUGUGAAGGCUCAGGUAAAACUAGAGGAAACAUGAGUUACUAAUGUACUAAUAAAGCAUAACUGACUGAAACCCAUAUAUAUUGAAUUACAUGUAAGGCAGAGCCAUAUUGAAUAGUUUUUAAUUAUGAUUAUUGGAAAAAACUAUUAAAAAAGCAAGUAACUUAUUGGAAUAUUAAAUGGUUUAUUAGCGCUCUGCACUUGAAUCAGCAAUAAAUGAAGCUGAGGAACGUGGAGAAUCUGCUGUCAGAGAUGCCAAGAACAAACUGUCUGAGCUGGAAGGUGCUCUACAGAAGGCCAAGCAGGACAUGGCUCGCCAACUGCGAGAAUACCAGGAGCUGAUGAAUGUGAAACUGGCUCUGGAUAUUGAGAUCGCCACCUACAGGAAGAUGCUGGAAGGAGAGGAGGGCAGGUGAGUUACUGAGUCCUUAACAAAUUAAUUAUCUGUGUAUGACAGUGGGUUGAUUUCACUGAUGCGAGAUAUUUUAUGCCAUGCUGCAUUCUAAGGAAUUAAUGUUCUAUUUAUUUCAUUGUGUUCUGUCAGUGCGAGCAAGGCUUGAUACCCUUAUGCAAAAAGUGUCCAUUAAUACCUGAGAUUAUUAAUUUUAGCUGGAGAAAUUUAAGAUCCCUGCACUGACUAGUGAAAUGUAAUUUAUUUUAAAAAAAGACAUUCCUUUUGCAUUGUCAAUUGAACUUCCUUGUUCAUCAGUCCUCAAUUAUGGUAUCAGCACUGACAUCCACAAGUUAGCAACCAGAGAAGAGCUCACAGAGUCCGAGGAGUUUCCCAAUGAUCACCAUGCGUGUGCUAGAAAGUUUCAGAGCUUGGACCCAUAGCACAAGGAAGGAAAUACAUUUUUCUACUCUGCUCCUUGUAUUUUAAAACAUUAUCAAGGAUGUUAAAAUAUUGUGCAUGAUCCAGGCAUAUCGUAGUGAUGCUAUCUCUAUAGUUAUCAUGUUAUUAAAAUAUCUCUGAGCCAUUAUGUAAUAGAGAGGAAAAGGUUUAAAAUGAUGUAAAAGUGAAAAAGAAUAACACAUUUUAUGAACCAUGUGUAUUUUCUUUAUAAAAGAUGAUAGAGCAGAAACUCAUAUCGAGUGGGUUUAUAUUAAGAGAAAAAGAGAAUGUGAAGAAAUAUUGUUUUAAAAAGUUAUAAUUAAUUUGAACUAUAACACAGUGCCCCAUUAAAAUAGCCUUGUGUAUAAAGGGACAACAUAGAAACAUAGAAUGUGACGGCAGAUAAGAACCAUUCGGCCCAUCUAGUCUGCCCAAUUUUCUAAAUGCUUUCAUUAGUCCCUGGCCUUAUCUUAUAGCUAGGAUAGCCUUAUGCCUAUCCCACGCAUGCUUAAACUCCUUAACUGUGUUAACCUCUACCACUUCAGCUUGAAGACUAUUCCAUGCAUCGACUACCCUCUCAGUAAAGUAAUACUUCCUGAUAUUAUUUUUAAACCUUUGUCCCUCUAAUUUAAGACUAUGUCUUCUUGUUGUGGUAGUUUUUCUUCUUUUAAAUAUGGUCUCCCCCUUUACUGUGUUGAUUCCCUUUAUGUAUUUAAAUGUUUAUAUCAUAUCCCCCCGUCUCGUCUUUCCUCCAAGCUAUACAUGUUAAGAUCCUUUAACCUUUCCUGGUAAGGUUUAUCCCGCAAUCCAUGAACCAGUUUAGUAGCCCUUCUUGAACUGGUUCAUGGAUUGCAGGAUAAAACAACCACAUUGGAAAUUUCAUUAAAAGUAUUCGCUCCUUUUAGCUAAUUAGAGAGAUAAUUAUCCAAUACUAAAAUAAUGUGUUUAUGUUUUAUUUCAGGAUGACUGCUCAUGGUUCUGUUAAUAUAUGUAAGUGAUACAAUACUUGAGAACAUUGAAUCUUAGAACAAAAUAAAAACCUUACAAACACACUGGUUAUAUGAGUGCUUAUCUUAAUGUACAUUUUAUUUCUGCAUUGCUUCUCUGACAAAAUCUCUCCAUACAUUUCUUUCUAUUGAUACAGACAGUAUUAUCAAUAGUUAUUAAGGUGUUAGGUAUUUGUAUUUAUUGUCAUUUCUAUUUGGAUAAUAACUUGUAGCAUUAUUGUGUUUCAGCCGUGCUUCACUCCAGCACUGGAGGAAAACACAGCUCAGGAGAGAAGUCCCACGGUAAUAGUGGCCAACAUUACAGUGGAGGAUCCAGCACAAGCAUCUCGAAAAGCAGAAACAGCUCUGGCCACGGACACCACUGCUAAAGUUCAAUAGAAGCACUUUAGGGUUAUUCAAUAAAUUUGAGUUUAACAUUUUUUUAACCAAAAAAGUCUACAUUUUAAAUAUUCUCAACUAUGAUUUGGAUUUAUCUAUUUUUUUGUAAUCUAAAAUUUGAAAUGAUCUUUGAAUUCACUUUUAAUUCCCCCCAAAAAUCACACUUCAGUGAAUAACCUUGAUAGAAAUUGCCAGUGAGAUAGCUCAGUGGGCUAAUGCAUCAUCAGUAGAAUCUGUUCAACCCAGCAGGGUUGACUCAGCCCUUCAUCCUUCCGAGCUAGAUAAAAUGAGUACCAUUAUAUUGGGUAAUAGUAACAACCCCUGGAUGUUGGGCUAUGGUAACAUCCCCAAGACGUACUUGAAAACUAUAGUAAUCUGAAUGUGCCUUUCCUGGUUAAAUACUUUAUUAUUAAAAUGCUAAAAUGAAAGCAUAGAUUUUAGUGAAAGCACUAAUUUUGAUUUUAAGGUGCAUUUAUUGCUUAAUUUUCUUGCAGUUCAAACAUAUUAUGCAACUUCCUUUCUGUUUAAUUGUCUUUAUAUCGUUUAAAUACAAUAAUCACUUCUUACUUAUCUGUAAUGUGUCUCUGCAAUAAAACUUUACUCAUUGAAAAAUCUUAUUAAUGUUUUUAUUAUUUUCCUUAUCCCCUUCCCGACCGCAGACGGAAAUUUUCCGUCAACCUUGUCCUUCAGUUAAGGACCGUUGACGGAAAAUUUCAGUCAUUUACUAAAGUAAACCCCAGAUCGCCGUGAUCGCGGCGAUCGUGGGGUUAACGGUGAUUCGGUCUGCCUCUGUAUUAGAGGCAGACCGGGAGCACCUGAUCGGGCUGCCCCAGCACCGGUGCUCGCUCUGACAGAAUGUCAGAGUGAGCACAUGUGCUCAGUAUACUCACCUUCCGCCUCCCUGCACUUCCGGGUUCUGUGUGAAGUGCAGGGAGAUGGCUCAGUGCUGCUGAUCUUCCCCCUGUGUAAAAAAAAUAAAUAAAGUUAAAUCCCACCCCCCUUUCCCCUACUUUAAUAAAAUUAACCCCUUCCCUGCCAAUUGAUCACUGACUACAGUGAUCAAUUGGCAGGGUAUACAUUUUAAUGUCAUCUGAUUUUUUUUAACCUCUGAGGUUUAAUUAUUUUUUUUAACCCUCAUGGAUUAAAUUUAUUUGAUUAAUUCAUUUAAAUAUUUAAAAAUUAUAUAUUUAGCUAGCUGGGAUGGGUGGAAGUUAGUGGGGAAUUGGGGAAUUUGGUGUUUGGCUAACUAGGAGUUAACGUUAAAAAAAGUUUUAAAAUAAGCUUUAAAAAAGUAAAUAAAAGUUUUAAAAAAUGUUUUAGUAACGUUUAAGUAAAAAAAAAAAAUACCACCCCCACACACUGUAGUCUAAUUUGUUUUGACCCCUGAAGAUUAACUUUUAUUUAUUUUUUAACCCUCAGGGGUUCAAUUUAUUUAAUUAAUUAAUUAAAAUAUUUUAUAAUUAUAUAUAUUUUGCUAGCUGGAGUGGGUGGGAGUUAUGGCAAAGGGGGGAAUUUACUGUUAGUGCUGCUUACUGCUAGUUGGGGUUAAUGGUAAAAGAAAAGUUUACAAAAAAUGUAAAAGUGUAAAAAAAGUUAAGAAAGUGUAAAACAUUUAAUAAGUAAAAAAAGUUUAGAAACAGAUUUUACAAAGUAAAAAAAGUUUAAAAACGGGUUUUACAAAGUAAAAGUUUUACAAAAUAAAAAAAUACAUUAAAAAAAUUCUCAUUACCACUACACUUGGUACAAGCUAGUGGAAAAAUGAUCCCAUGCUAAGGUUCAAAUAUGCCUUUUGAAUUACCCUGGGAUGUCUUCUUUAGGAAAUAUUAUGCCUUUAUGGUGUAAUUGGAUUAUAUAGCCUUGUAAAAUACUCUAAAAUGGGACAUGGACACAGCGUAAAAAUUCAAAGUUUGAAAAAAACUGGAAUGGCUGUGUCUCAAAUGUGCCCCUUCAAUGUCCACAUAUACCUGGCAAAGGUACAUAUGGGGGUAUUGCUGUACUCAGCCGACAUAGCUGAGCAACAUAUGAAGUAUUAUACAGUCAUAGUACACAUAAGGUUUGCAAAAUAUGCUGCGCAAACUCACUUUGUAUGUCAAAAAGGCAGAAAAAAAUGCUUAUUACCACUACACUUGGUACAAGCUAGCGGAAAAAUGAUCCCACGCUAAGGUUCAAAAUAUGCCUUUUGAAUUACCCUGGGAUGUCUUCUUUAAGAAAUGGUAUGCCUUUAUGGGGUAAUUGGAUUAUAUAGCCUUGUAAAAUACUCUAAAAUGGGACAUGGACACAGCGUAAAAAUUCAAAGUUUGGAAAAAACUGGAAUGGCUGUGUCUCAAAUGUGCCCCUUCAAUGUCCACAUAUACCUGGCAAAGGUACAUAUGGGGGUAUUGCUGUACUCAGCGCCAUAGCUGAGCAACAUAUGAAGUAGUAUACAGUCGUAGUACACAUAAGGUUUGCAAAAUAUACUGCACAAACUCACUUUGUGUCUCAAAAAGGCAGAAAAAAUGCUUAUUACCACUACACUUGGUACAAGCUAGUGGAAAAAUGAUUCCACGCUAAGGUUCAAAAUAUGCCUUUUGAAUUACCCUGGGAUGUCUUCUUUAAGAAAUGGUAUGCCUUUAUGGUGUAAUUGGAUUAUAUAGCCUUGUAAAAUACUCUAAAAUGGGACAUGGACACAGCGUAAAAAUUCAGAAUUUGAGAAAAACUGGAAUGGCUGUGUCUCAAAUGUGCCCCUUCAAUGUCCACAUAUACCUGGCAAAGGUACAUACAGGGGUAUUGCUGUACUCAGCCGACAUAGCUGAGCAACAUAUGAAGUAGUAUACAGUUGUAGUACACAUAAGGUUUGCAAAAUAUACUGUGCAAACUCAUUCUGUGUGUCAAAAAGGCAAAAAAUUCAUGCCUUUUGAAAUACCCUGGGAUGUGUUCUUUAAGAAAUGGUAUGCCUUUAUGGUGUAGUUGUAAUAUGUAGCCUGUUCAAGUGCACCAAAGUGGGACAUGGACGCAUCAAAACCCUCCAUGAAAAUUAAUUGGUAAAAACCUUAACUUGUCACGUCUCUUUUACAGCAGUGUAACUUCACAAACUAGUGUCUAGGUCAUACAUUGGGCAUAUUGUUUUACUCAGAAGACUUAGCUGAGCAUAAUUUGGGGGGUUUGAACUUAGUGGCACAUAUGAAAUGUACAAAAUGCCCAGCAAAAAUGUAAUCCGUAUGUAAAAAAUGCCCAAAAUUAUUUUUUACCACAUACUUUGGCAUAUAUUGGUAAAAAAAUGGGGGCAUGUUAAGGCACAAUAUGCACCAUAUGAGAUACCCUGGACUGUCUACUUUUAAAAAUGGUAGGCCUUUGUGGGAGUUUUUUGAACAGUCAAACUUCUAUAAUUCCCCAAAUUGAAGCAUAGGCCCAUUAAAUCCUCCUCUCAAAAUUCUACUGUAAAUAUUGAAACGGACAGGUCUCCUAUAUGGCACUGUAGCUUCACGAAAUAGUGCCAAAAACAUACAAUGUGGGUAUCGUUGUACUCAGCAGAAGUAACUGAACAUAAAAUAAAACUUUGUACAAGAAUAGCACACACCAACUUUAUAAAAUAACAUGAGAAGUUCUUUCUUAUAAGUUUGUGUUUGUAAUAUUAUACUAUUGUAAUUUUGAUGAAAAAACUAAACAAAAAACUUACAUUCCCCAAAUUCAUCCAUCCAAAAAACAAUGUAAAUCUAUUUCUAUAUUUAAACCAUGUGGUUGUAAAGUUGUUAACCAAUUUGUCCAUUUUAUUUUAGUUGAUUACUCCCUUCCAAUAUGCCUGUUCUAUUCCUACUAAACUGGAAUUGUUUUUCAUUUCAAUGUAGGAGGACUGUAUGUUUAUUAUAUUUAAAAAAAAAAUAAUAAUAAAAAAUAUAUAUAUAUAUAUGUAUAUAUAUAUAUAUUGAUGUUCUAAAAUUCAUUCUUUAAGUUUUCUAUCAUUUCCUCCUAUGUACUGUGUCCUAUAGGAGUGUGGAUAGUAAAUAUGAAUGGCAAAUUACUAGUAAUGUAUCAUUUUAUAUAAAAUACUCAUAGUAUUAUUUCAAAAUAUAUCCCUGUUGUCCGAACCGGAAGCCCAUCAACUGUACUCCAUCAGUUUGUCCAGUGCUUCCAGCCUAGCAUUGCAGACCAAAGGUAAAUAGCAAAUAUAGACAUUCAAUUCUGUAUUAGACAACCCAUAGCAGAGGGCCAAGUCUAGGUGCUGGAAAAAUCUAAAUACCAGUAUAUUGAUAGAAUCCAUGGGAAAUACUCUUGAUACUCUUGACCCUAUGACCAUUACAUGAGUUGUUGAGCUUAUGAUGCUUAGAGGGGCACCUAUUAUAAUUUUAGGUAUCUAUUGCACUAUUCUCUUUCCUGCAAUUUAUCAGCAUACAUAGGUUCAAUAAUGUAUUGAACGAAUGUAGCCUACAUAGCUAUGUAGCUUGCCACUUCAGUUUCUGACAGUUAAGACUGUUUCUUUACUUUGGGCCAAAUGUUUACAUUACAUAUAUUUGUUUUUAUUGACUUAAGUGUUUUCUGAUCCAACUUUUCUCAGUGUCCAUUUAUCUAAUCAUAAUCUACAUAACCCAAACUGGUCAGUCCUGACUGCUGUGGGAAUAUUUAUGGGAUGAUAAUAUUAUACAGUUGAGAAUUGCCCACUAUUUCAAUUCUCUUUGAUCUUAGAGAUCGUUAUCAUAUAAGUGAAAUGUAUUCCAUACAAAUAAAAUCACAAUUUGUUAUAAAAAUAGAUAUAAUUUAUUGUGACAAAUAAAAUAAUAAUAUUAGGCAGCAUGCAUGAUAUUAAUCAGUGAAUAUUUAGUAUAACAUAAGUAUGCAAUAUAAUGGCUAGACACAGUACAAAACUACAGCAUCAACUGUCAAGACAAGAUGAAUGGGUACUUCUCAGACACCGAAAGCAAAACUUCACACAGCCCAGCGAAAAACCCUGGCUAACAGUUAAAUCAGCUGAGUAACCCUUUCAAUGCUGGCUAGAUCCUCCUAGGCACAUAGUAUCCUAUUCUCAUGUAAUUAUCAAUUGAAAUAACAUUCGAACCAGCUCAUUAAUCAUUUCCUGGAACCAUCCAAUAAGAAUAAUCAACCAGAUUUUUACAAAAGCCGAAUUUUAAUUUGCUUAAAAAGAUAUCUUAUCUUAUUUUAGAGUAAAUCAAUACACCUGGAUAAAAACAGCGGUAUGCUAACACGUGAUACUAUCACAUUAAUAUAUAAUUAUUCUUAAUUCCACCUGCAGAAUGGAAUGUUUAUAAAUAUAUAUUCUUUAGUUAACUGAGAUUUCUAAUUAUUGAAAUCUGACCGUGAUUUAUCCAGUCAUAUAUCAUGCUAUUAGAUUUUAAUUAAUUUAGAUUAAUUAAAUAAAACCAGCAUAAUUACCAGUUAUGUAGGUAUUCUCAUCAGAUGAGUAGGAAGUCCCAGAAACUUGAAUGCAAGUAUGAUUGGUUGUAUGGAGGUGUAUAAGUAAUAGAGAAAAGUGGUGUCGGUUAGAAAGUAUCAGUAAAAUUCUAAGUGUCAAGGAGUGUUUCUUGAGUUGUGUCCAAGAGAGUUUGAGAGUUGGAUGUUAGUCCCAGAGAGUGUCCUGAAUCUCUCUGUAUGUCCGAAUCUGAAUGCCCAAAAACGAAUCUUCUCUCUUCCCUUUGUCCUAACUUUUAAAGGGCCAGACUCUCUGUACGUCAUUAGUUGAUAAGGCCGAUAGGAUACUGAAGGUGUGGUCAACCUGCAGAUCGCAAUUUAGGUAUUUGAUCCAUAGAGGGCAGUCUCGCCUCACUAAACCUUCCUAUCGAGGAAAGAGUUAACUUUUCCUGAUGACGAUUUUGACGUCAUUUGGCUUAUCUAAAAUGACUACCAUAACUUAAAUUUGCGGUCAGUUCAAAUCGUUUGUCUCAGUCUUUCUGGCAAAGACUUUGAUCGUAAUUUCUAAAAUUGACAGUUCUAAACUCAAUUUCACCCCUUACUUACAAUGGGACCUUGUAAAAUUUAGAUAGUAAAAUUAAUUACUUAGUCUUCUCCGUCACUAGUGUCUGUGUUUAAAAUUAUUUCUAUUCCAUUAACAUUUAAACAGAGCAUUCCACCCCCCUGCUUCAUUGCUUAUCACUUGGCUUGUUUAUAUAAUGCAUUCCUUAGCUCAGGCUAGUGGCUAGUUACAGAAAGCAAGAAUAAUUGAUGUGUCUUUAAUGGCCUGAAGAUCCAAAAUGGUCUAGCAAGCUAUUAACAUAGCAGGGGAUAAUAAAAUCUUAAUUAAACAGAACUUGCAAUAAAGAAAGCCUAAAUAGGGCUCUCUUUACAGGAAGUGUUUAUGGAAGGCUGUGCAAGUCACAUGCAGGGAGGUGUGACUAGGGUUCAAAAACAAAGGGAUUUAACUCCUAAAUGGCAGAGGAUCGAGCAGUGAGGCUGCAGGGGCAUGUUCUAUACACCAAAACUGCUUCAUUAAGCUAAAGUUGUUCAGGUGACUAUAGUGUCCCUUUAAGACGGAAAUACUGUAUGAGGUCCAUGGCUCACAUUAAGUUAAACACUUUAAACUAUUAGAAGCUUACAGUAAAUGAUUUUUGCUUUGAUGUUGUAGAUAUGUUGAUGCUUGAUGCGUUACUUCUAUGAAAUCAGAAAGUAAUAAUAGUCACAAUAAAUGCUUAUAGCAGACAAUGAUGCUAUUUGUAGGUGAGUGUGUUAACACCCAUGUGAAAUAUAAAAGCAGCCAGUUUGUGCCUAGAAUGUGUGACUCUGCAGUGCAGACUGUACCUGGUAUCUCGUCUUUACAUCUCCUCUGUGAGAAGAAUCAUCAUGUCUCAUCACUCCAUCCUUGGGAUCUCUGGACACAAUCACUUCAGCUCCUGUUCAAUAGCUUCACCUAAACAUGGGAGCUCACAGCACACAUUCUCUCACUCCUCCAACUCUGCAAAUCAUGGUAAGAAGUCAAUACAUUGCUUUAGCAGCAGAAGUGCCUGUGGUAUGGGUUCCAAAGGACACAAAAGCUCACUGGGAAAUUUUUAUUCUGGGAAAAAUGGACACGCAUCUGGACAUGGAUCUGUACAUGGAGGUAUUGGCUAUGGAUUUGGGGGAUCAGCAUGCUCUGGAGGCAUCACCCCAGUUACUGUAAAUCAAGGUCUUCUGGCCCCUCUCAACCUAGAGAUUGACCCAAGCAUCCAGAGAAUGAGGACUGAUGAAAGAAAUCAAAUUAGGGGUCUGAAUGACAAAUUUGCUUCUUUUAUUGACAAGGUGAGAUUAUUUUACAUGAUAAGUAGACUAGAGAGAAACAUCUAACCAGCAGAAGAUACAACAUUUUUUUUUUAUUACACAUCUUUCAAAAAGCCAAUGCUCUUCUCUUGGAUCAAUAUUAUCCUCUCAUGAGAUGAACAGAGGAAUUUACAAUCUUUGCUUGAUGCAUGAGGUUCCACGGAUAUGGCUUUUAAAUAGUAUUUAUUGUAAAUGUUGAUUCUAACAUCAACCUAAGCUGUCUUCACUCAUGUUUUUUUUUUUCAUGUUUUUUUUUUAAUAUUUAAUCUUUAUUGAAAAGUUUUAUUUUUUUUCCCUUUUUCUUUCGUUGUAUUUCUUUUUUUUUUUUUUAAAUGUCAUGUUUUUUAAUGUCUUCUAAGAUUGAGUUCUAGAAAAUUUGCUCCACAGACAAUUAUAAGAAUUGUAUGUUUGUUUGUUCAUGGCUAAUACGAUAGCAGUUAUAUUUUUUAUACCUCUGAAUAUUGCAGUAGUAAUACUUUAUAGUACAUGUUCAUUUUAAGUGUUUUGAUUUGCAUGCAUAUAUAUAUAUAUAUAUAAAUAAGUAAUGAAAUUAUUUCCAAUCAACUUUCUAAUUUAAACUUAGGUGCGAUUUCUGGAACAACAAAAUAAAAUGUUGGAGACUAAGUGGGCUCUCUUACAAGAACAAAAAACUGCCCAUUAUCAAAUUGAACCCCUGUUUGAAGCUUUUAUCAGUAACCUUAGGAGACAGCUGGGAAACCUGGGAUGUGAAAGAGAACGUCUAGAAGCAGAAAGGAACAGCAUGGAACAAUCUGUGGAAGAACUACGGGGAAGGUAUGUUGUUUUUUGUUUGUUUGAUUUUUAAACAAUCAAUUUAUAUAGCUAUAUUCAUGCAUUUACCCAGAAACUAAUUUUUCUGUAUAAUCUCUAGUAUAUUAUUUCACUGUUAAAAAUGAAAAUAAUAUUUUCUAAAGGGGCACUCUAUAUAUAUAUAUAUAUAUAUAUAUAUAUAUAUAUAUAUAUAUAUAUAUAUAUAUAUAUAUAAAACCACUGUAAUUUAUUGUAGUGGAUUUAAAGCAAAAAAUUUUGAGGCAAAAAAUUGGGAAACACAAUUCCUUCUUGACCCAAAAUGGCAGUCAGAUUUAUCCUUGGAUCAAGCAGCGAUUACCCCACUAAUUAGAAAUGAUAUCCCUUGAUAUUAUGUUUCUGAAGUAUUAUCAAAUUGCUGCUGAAACAUCAGUAUAGACUCUGAUAAAUUCAAAUCUUCAUGCAGGGAAUCCCACAUUCUUAUUGUUCUUUCUGUAAAAAAAAAAAACAUACUUUUCCUUGCCUUAGAUGAAAUCUGCUUUCUUCCAGCCUAAAUGCGUGUCAUAUGCAUAGCUCUGUUUAUGAAUAGAUUUCCAGAUAAUGGUUUAUACUGGCCCCAAAUAUAUUUGUAUAAUGUUAUCAUAUCCCCUCUGAGACUGCAAAGUGACAUCAAAGUGAAUUUCAAAUUUAAGGUCAGAGUAGCCUAAGUGAAUGUAUAUUUGACUUAUAGUAUAGUUGACGUAUAGUUGACCAGUUCAGCUGUUUGACCUUAAAAUUGAAAUUUAGUUUGAAUACUCCUUUUAGUAAAUAACCAGAUUGACCUUUUAACAUGUACACUAGCAAAACAUUUAAUUAAAACUGAAUUCCAUUAAGAGGAAAGGUUUCUGCUAUGUAGCAAUUCUUAAUAAAUGUUAUUAAUAUUUAAUAUUCUAGGUAUGAAGAAGAAGUGAACAGACGUACCGCGGCAGAAAAUGAGUUUGUUGGACUAAAAAGGGUAAAAAGGAAACUCUAUAGAUUUCUAAAAUGUAAAUGAAUAAAUUAUUAUAGAACAGUAGCAAUCCCCUUAAUGUAUAUAUUUCCUUUUUUCAGGAUGUAGACGCAGCUUUUAUGAACAGAGCUGAGUUACAAGGAAAGGCUGAGUCCCUGACUGAUGAGAUCAACUUCUUGAGGACUCUGUAUGAUGCGGUAAAUAUAUUUUCAGAUAUUUCAUUUCUGGAAUUUACUUAAAAGAUUUUAUUUUCUUGAAUAUUUGAAAAGUUCCAUAAAAACACUUUAUCUGCUUUUUAACUUUCUAGGAAAUUUCCCAGCUCCAGGCUCAGAUCUCAGACACCUCAGUGGUUGUGUCCAUGGAUAACAGUCGGGAUCUGGACCUGGAUGGAAUCAUUGCUGAGGUCAGAUCUCAAUAUGAGGACAUUGCUAACAGGAGCAGAGCUGAGGCGGAGGCCAUGUACCAGUCACGGGUGAGUCGAUUGAAGCUCAAGCGCCAACUGAAUUUUAUGCAGAUUAUUAUUCACAGAGUAGCGUAAAACCAAUGCACAUUAUAUGUUUCACUUUUUGGGCAGUUUGAGGAGCUUCGUACAGCUGCAGGAAGAAAUGGAAAUAAUCUGCAGAGCAGCCGAGAUGAGAUCUGUGAGCUGAACCGAACAAUUCAAAGAAUGAAGGGAGAGAUUGACAGUGUGAAGGCUCAGGUAAAACUAGAGGAAACAUGAGUUACUAAGGUACUAAUAAAGCAUAACUGACUGAAACCCAUAUAUAUUGAAUUACAUAUAAGGCAGAGCCAUAUUGAAUAGUUUUUAAUUAUGAUUAUUGGAAAAAACUAUUAAAAAAGCAAGUAACUUAUUGGAAUAUUAAAUGGUUUAUUAGCGCUCUGCACUUGAAUCAGCAAUAAAUGAAGCUGAGGAACGUGGAGAAUCUGCUGUCAGAGAUGCCAAGAACAAACUGUCUGAGCUGGAAGGUGCUCUACAGAAGGCCAAGCAGGACAUGGCUCGCCAACUGCGAGAAUACCAGGAGUUGAUGAAUGUGAAACUGGCUCUAGAUAUUGAGAUCGCCACCUACAGGAAGAUGCUGGAAGGAGAGGAGGGCAGGUGAGUUACUGAGUCCUUAACAAAUUAAUUAUCUGUGUAUGACAGUGGGUUGAUUUCACUGAUGCGAGAUAUUUUAUGCCAUGCUGCAGUCUAAGGAAUUAAUGUUCUGUUUAUUUCAUUGUGUUCUGUCAGUGCGAGCAAGGCUUGAUACCCUUAUGCAAAAAGUGUCCAUUAAUACCUGAGAUUAUUAAUUUUAGCUGGAGAAAUUUAAGAUCCCUGCACUGACUAGUGAAAUGUAAUUUAUUUAAAAAAAAGACAUUCCUUUUGCAUUGUCAAUUGAACUUCCUUGUUCAUCAGUCCUCAAUUAUGGUAUCAGCACUGACAUCCACAAGUUAGCAACCAGAGAAGAGCUCACAGAGUCCGAGGAGUUUCCCAAUGAUCACCAUGCGUGUGCUAGAAAGUUUCAGAGCUUGGACCCAUAGCACAAGGAAGGAAAUACGUUUUUCUACUCUGCUCCUUGUAUUUUAAAACAUUAUCAAGGAUGUUAAAAUAUUGUGCAUGAUCCAGGCAUAUCGUAGUGAUGCUAUCUCUAUAGUUAUCAUGUUAUUAAAAUAUCUCUGAGCCAUUAUGUAAUAGAGAGGAAAAGGUUUAAAAUGAUGUAAAAGUGAAAAAGAAUAACACAUUUUAUGAACCAUGUGUAUUUUCUUUAUAAAAGAUGAUAGAGCAGAAACUCAUAUCGAGUGGGUUUAUAUUAAGAGAAAAAGAGAAUGUGAAGAAAUAUUGUUUUAAAAAGUUAUAAUUAAUUUGAACUAUAACACAGUGCCCCAUUAAAAUGGCCUUGUGUAUAAAGGGACAACAUAGAAACAUAGAAUGUGACGGCAGAUAAGAACCAUUCGGCCCAUCUAGUCUGCCCAAUUUUCUAAAUGCUUUCAUUAGUCCCUGGCCUUAUCUUAUAGCUAGGAUAGCCUUAUGCCUAUCCCACGCAUGCUUAAACUCCUUAACUGUGUUAACCUCUACCACUUCAGCUUGAAGACUAUUCCAUGCAUCGACUACCCUCUCAGUAAAGUAAUACUUCCUGAUAUUAUUUUUAAACCUUUGUCCCUCUAAUUUAAGACUAUGUCUUCUUGUAGUCUUGUGGUAGCUUUUCUUCUUUUAAAUAUGGUCUCCCCCUUUACUGUGUUGAUUCCCUUUAUGUAUUUAAAUGUUUAUAUCAUAUCCCCCCGUCUCGUCUUUCCUCCAAGCUAUACAUGUUAAGAUCCUUUAACCUUUCCUGGUAAGGUUUAUCCCACAAUCCAUGAACCAGUUUAGUAGCCCUUCUUGAACUGGUUCAUGGAUUGCAGGAUAAAACAACCACAUUGGAAAUUUCAUUACAAGUAUUCGCUCCUUUUAGCUAAUUAGAGAGAUAAUUAUCCAAUACUAAAAUAAUGUGUUUAUGUUUUAUUUCAGGAUGACUGCUCAUGGUUCCGUUAAUAUAUGUAAGUGAUACAAUACUUGAGAACAUUGAAUCUUAGAACAAAAUAAAAACCUUACAAACACACUGGUUAUAUGAGUGCUUAUCUUAAUGUACAUUUUAUUUCUGCAUUGCUUCUCUGACAAAAUCUCUCCAUACAUUUCUUUCUAUUGAUACAGACAGUAUUAUCCAUAGUUAUUAAGGUGUUAGGUAUUUGUAUUUAUUGUCAUUUCUAUUUGGAUAAUAACUUGUAGCAUUAUUGUGUUUCAGCCGUGCUUCACUCCAGCACUGGAGGAAAACACAGCUCAGGAGAGAAGUCCCACGGUAAUAGUGGCCAACAUUACAGUGGAGGAUCCAGCGCAAGCAUCUCGAAAAGCAGAAACAGCUCUGGCCACGGACACCACUGCUAAAGUUUAAUAGAAGCACUUUAGGGUUAUUCAAUAAAUUUGAGUUUAACAUUGUUAACCAAAAAAGACAAAAUUUUAAAUAUUCUCAACUAUGAUUUGGAUUUAUCUAUUUUUGUGAAAUCUAAAAUUUGAAAUGAUCUUUGAAUUCACUUUUAAUUCCCCCCAAAAAAUCACGCUGCAGUGAAUAACCCUGAUAGAAAUUGCCAGUGAGAUAGCUCAGUGGGCUAAUGCAUCAUCAGUAGAAUCUGUUUAACCCAGCAGGGUUGACUCAUCCUUCCGAGGUAGAUAAAAUGAGUACCAUUAAAUUGGGUAAUAGUAACAACCCCUGGAUGUUGGGCUAUGGUAACAUCCCCAAGACGUACUUGAAAACUAUAGUAAUCUGAAUGUGCCUUUCCUGGUUAAAUACUUUGUUAUUAUUAUUAUUAAAAUGCUAAAAUGAAAGCAUAGAUUUUAGUGAAAGCACUAAUUUUGAUUUUAAGGUGCAUUUAUUGCUUAAUUUUCUUGCAGUUCAAACAUAUUAUGCAACUUCCUUUCUGUUUAAUUGUCUUUAUAUCGUUUAAAUACAAUAAUCACUUGUUUCUUAUCGGUAAUGUGUCUCUGCAAUAAAACUUUACUCAUUGAAAAAUCUUAUUAAUGUUUUUAUUAUUUUCCUUAACCCCUUCCCGACCGCAGAUGGAAAUUUUCCAUCAACCUUGUCCUUCAGUUAAGGACCGUUAACAGAAAAUUUCCGUCAUUUAUUAAAGUCAUCCCCCGAUCGCCGUGAUCGCGGCGAUCGCGGGGUUAACGGUGCUUCGGUCUGCCUCUGUAUUAGAGGCAGACUGGGAGCACCCGAUCAGACUGCCCCAGCACCGGUGCUAGCUCUGACAGAAUGUGCUCAGUAUACUCACGUUCCGCCUCCCUGCACUUCCGGGUUCUGUGUGAAGUGCAGGGAGACGGAUCAGUGCUGCUGAUCUUGUCCCUGUGUAAAAAAAAAAAAAAAAGUUAAAUCCCACCCACCUUUCCCCUGCUUUAAUAAAAUUAACCCCUUCCCUGCCAAUUGAUCACUGACUACAUUGUAUCAAAUGGCAGGGUAUACAUUUUAAUGUCAUUUGAUUUUUUUUUUAACCCCUGAGGGUUAAUUAUUUUUUUUAACCCUCAGGGAUUAAAUUUAUUUGAGUAAUUCAUUUAAAUAUUUAAAAAUUAUGUAUGUAGCUAGCUGGGAUGGGUGGAAGUUAGUGGGGAAUUGGGGAAUUUGGUGUUUGGCUAACUAGGGGUUAACGUUAAAAAAGUUUUAAAAUAAGCUUUAAAAAGGUAAAUAAAAGUUUUAAAAAAAUGUUUUAGUAACGUUUAAGUAAAAAAAAAAAAAAUACCACCCCCCUUUUCCCAGUCUAAAUAAAAAUUAACCUCUUCCCUGCCAGUUUAUCAAUGCCUACAGUGAUCAAAAUACAGAUCACAGUAUUAUACUGUAGUCUAAUUUCUUUUGACCCCUGAAGAUUAAGUUUUAUUUAUUUUUUAACCCUCAGGGGUUCAAUUUAUUUAAUUAAUUAAUUAAAAUAUUUUAUAAUUAUAUAUAUUUUGCUAACUGGAGUGGGUGGGAGUUAUGGCAAACGGAGGGAAUUUACUGUUAGUGCUGCUUACUGCUAGUUAGGGGUUAAUGGUAAAAGAAAAGUUUAGAAAAAAAUUCAAAAGUGUAAAAAAGUUAAGAAAGUGUAAAACACUUAAUAAGUAAAAAAAAAGUUUAGAAACGGGUUUUACAAAGUAAAAAAAGUUUAAAAACGGUUUUACAAAGUAAAACAUUUUUACAAAAUAAAAAAAUACAUAAAAAAAUGCUCAUUACCACUACACUUGGUACAAGCUAGUGGAAAAAUGAUCCCACGCUAAGGUUCAAAAUAUGCCUUUUGAAUUACCCUGGGAUGUCUUCUUUAAGAAAUGGUAUGCCUUUAUGGUGUAAUUGGAUUAUAUAGCCUUGUAAAAUACUCUAAAAUGGGAUAUGGACACAGCGUAACAAUUCAAAAUUUGAGAAAAACUGGAAUGGCUGUGUCUCAAAUGUGCCCAUUCAAUGUCCACAUAUACCUGGCAAAGGUACAUACGGGGGUAUUGCUGUACUCAGCCGGCAUAGCUGAGCAACAUAUGAAGUAGUAUACAGUCGUAGUACACUAAGGUUUGCAAAAUAUACUGCGCAAACUCAUAUUGUGUGUCAAAAAGGCAAAAAAUUUGCUUAUUACCACUACCCUUGGUACAAGCUAGCGGAAAAAUUAUCCAACACUAACGUUCAAAAUAUGCCUUUUGAAAUACCCUGGGAUGUGUUCUUUAAGAAAUUGUAUGCCUUUAUGGUUUAGUUGUAAUAUGUAGCCUGCUCAAGUGCUCCAAAGUGGGACACAGAUGCAUCAAAACCCUCCAUGAAAAUUCAUUGGUAAAAACCUUAACUUGUCACGUCUCUUUUACAGCAGUGUAACUUCACAAAAUAGUGUCUAGGUCAUACAUUGGGCAUAUUGUUUUACUCAGAAGACUUAGCUGAGCAUAAUUUGGGGGGUUUGAACCAGGGCCGGACUGGCCCACCGGAUACCGGGAAAUUUCCCGCUGGGCCGGCACACUAGGGGGCCGGUGCGCGGCCGCCUAGUGUGCACCAGCCCGGGCUGCAAUUACAGGGUGACCGGCAGGAGGGGAUGCGCUCCCCUCCUGCUGGUCACAGAAUGUAGCGUGGCCGAGUAGGCAGACCGCUGUAGGGAAGCUUCUGUUCCCCUACCCGGUCUGACAGGAAGCAGGAAGCGAGAACGCUCCUCCCGCGAGCAGGCAGGUUGGAGCGUUGCCGUGCGUUACCAUGGCAACGCUCUGACCUGUCUGCUGUUCUCGCGGGAGUUGAGCAAAGUCAGCCUGCAGCCAGAGGAGCUGCAGGCUGAACAGCACGUGCCACCACUGGACCACCAGGGAUCGAAGAGUAGCCGUCCCCCCUCUCCCCUGACCAAAGGUAAAGUGGGAGGGGGGUAAAAUUAAGCUUUUUUUUUAAUAUAUCAAUGCCCAUACACACUUCAUAUCCCCCCCCCAUACACACACUACACCCCCUCCCCCACCAACAGCACCCCCACCAACAGCACCCCUCCCCCAACAGCACCCCUCCCCAACAGCACCCCUCCCCCACCAACAGCACCCCUCCCUCCUACCAACAGCACCUCCACCCCCACCAACAGCACCCUUCCCCCACCAAUAGCACCCUUCCCCACCAACAGCACCCUUCCCCCCACCAACAGAACCCCUCCCCGCACACAGAACCCCUCCAAGCACACAGAACCCCUUCAUGCUCACAGAACCCCUCCACGCUCACAGAACCCCUCCACGCACACAGAACCCCUCCACACACACACAGAACCCCUCCACUCACACACAGAACCCCUCCACGCACACAGAACCCCUCCACACACACAGAACCCCUCCACACACAAACGGCACUCUCUCCACACACACACACUAAACCGCUACACACACUGCACCCCCUCCAAAUACACACCGCACACCCCUACACACUGAACCCCUACACACACUGCACUCCCCACACACUGAACACACACACGGCACCCCUCACUGUAGUCUGUGUGUGUGCGUGUAUUCACCAGUCUGUGCACGUUCACUAGUCUGUGCGCGUGUAAUCACCAAUCUGUGUGUAUAUUCUGCAGUCUCUAUAUGUGUGUAUUCAGCAGCCAGUGUAUAUAUUCAGCAGUCUGUGUGUGUUUUUUGCGGUUUGUGUGUAUUAAGCAGUCUUUCUCUGUGUGUAAGUAUUGUAUUUGUUUGGAGGUACCAAUAAAUAUAAGCCUAAUUUUAUUGAUAAUUUAUAUUUUUAUUUCUUGGAGUGGUUGCAUAGUCAGGGUCCCAGUGCAUUGGUUUGCCCAGUGGACUAUUAUGCUGUUACGAUGGCCAUGGUCUAGGGUAUGUGUGUGCUCUGAUGAUCAUGCUCCUACAAAAUGUAAAUGAAAAGACACUCAUUUGAGUACCAGGAAGGGGAUGAACAGUAACAGCCACUUCUGGCCAAGAAGAGAUUAAAAACUUAUGUAUUUCUCUGUUUUGUUUUGGGUUUUUUUUUGCGAUUUUUGUAUCGCUGAUGGGUGUCCAAUUUUUAUAUUUUCAAAAUCUGGUCACCCUAGACACAUGGAAGAUUGAGAGGGGGCAUAUGGACACAUGGAGGACUGGGAAUGAGGGCUAAUAGGACAUAUGUGGGGGCUACUGGAUUAUAUGCAAAUGCACGUCUGCGUCUGCUUACAAUAAAUCUGCUCUGCUUUAUUUUGAAGCCCUAUAAGUGCUUUCUUUCAUGUUUGAGUGCUAGUUUUCAGUUUUUUUCCCGCUUCCAUAUCUGCGCACUAUGCUAGCGCGAUGCAUUAUGGGGCUGGUAUGGAAUUUUUUUCCAGGGCUGCUUUUCAUUACCAGUCCGGCCCUGGUUUGAACUUAGUGGCACAUAUGAAAUGUACAAAAUGCCCAGCAAAAAUGUAAUCCGUAUGUAAAAAAUGCCCAAAAUUAUUUUUUACCACAUACUUUGGCAUAUAUUGGUAAAAAAAUGGGGGCAUGUUAAGGCACAAUAUGCACCAUAUGAGAUAACCUGGAGUGUCUACUUUUACAAAUGGUAGGCCUUUGUGGGAGUUUUUUGAACAAUCAAACUUCUAUAAUACCCCAAAUUGAAGCAUAGGCCCAUUAAAUCCGCCUCUCAAAAUUCUACUGUAAAUGUUGAAAUUGACAGGUCUCCUAUAUGGCACUGUAGCUUCACGAAAUAGUGCCAAAAACAUACAAUGGGGUUAUUGUUGUACUCAGCAGAAGUAACUGAACACAAAAUAAAACUUUGUACAAGAAUAGCACACACCAACUUUACAAAAUACACAUGAGAAGUUCUUUCUUAUAAGUUUUUGUUUGUAAUACUAUACUAUUGUAAUUUUGAUGAAAAAACAAUCCAAAAAAACUUACAUUCCCCAAAUUCAUCCAUCCAAAAAACAAUGUAAAUCUAUUUCUAUAGUUAAACCAUGUGGUUGUAAAGUUGUUAACCAAUUUAUCCAUUUUAUUUUAGUUGAUUACUCCCUUCCAAUAUGCCUGUUCUAUUCCUACUAAACUGGAAUUGUUUUUCAUUUCAAUGUAGGAGGACUGUAUGUUUAUUAUAUUUAAACAUAUAUAUAUAUAUAUAUAUUGAUGUUCUAAAAUUAAUUCUUUAAGUUUUCUAUCAUUUCCUCCUAUGUACUGUGUCCUUUAGGAGUGUGGAUAGUAAAGAUGAAUGGGAAAUUACUAGUAAUGAAUCAUUUUAUAUAAAAUACUCAUAGUAUUAUUUCAAAAUAUAUCCUUGUUGUCCAAACCGGAAGCCCAUCAACUGUACUCCAUCUUAGAUUAUGUGUAAUUGGAUUUUAGCAGUAGCUAAUUCAACAAUAAUAAGCUAAGGAAGGAGUUUGUCCAGUGCUUCCAGCCUAGCAUUGCAGAUCAAAGGUCAAUAGCAAAUACGGACUUUCAAUUCUGUAUUAGACAACCCAUAGCAGAGGGCCAAGUCUAGGUGCUGGAAAAAUCUAAAUACCAGUAUAUUGUUACAAUGCAUGGGGAAAUACUCUUGAUACUCUUGACCCUAUGACCAUUACAUGAGUUGUUGAGCUUAUGAUGCUUAGAGGGGCACCUAUUAUCAUUUUAGGUAUCUAUUGCACUAUUCUAUUUCCUGCAAUUUAUCAGCAUAAAUAGGUUCAAUAAUGUAUUGAACGAAUGUAGCCUACAUAGCUAUGUAGCUUGCCACUUCAGUUUCUGACAGUUAAGACAGUUUCUUUACUUUGGGCCAAAUGUUUACAUUACAUAUAUUUGUUUUUAUUGACUUAAGUGUUUUCUGAUCCAACUUUUCUCAGUGUCCAUUUAUCUAAUCAUAAUAUACAUAACCCAAACUGGUCAUUCCUGACUGCUGUAGGGAUAUUUAUGGGAUGAUAAUAUUAUACAGUUGAGAAUUGCCCACUAUUUCAAUUAUCUUAGAUCUUAGAGAUCGUUAUCAUAUAAGUGAAAUGUAUUCCAUACAAAUAAAAUCACAAUUUGUUAUAAAAAUAGAUAUAAUUUAUUGUGACAAAUAAAAUAAUAAUAUUAGGCAGCAUGCAUGAUAUUAAUCAGUGAAUAUUUAGUAUAACAUAAGUAUGCAAUAUAAUGGCUAGACACAGUACAAAGCUACAGCAUCAACUGUCAAGACAAGAUGAAUGGGUACUUCUCAGACACCGAAAGCAAAACUUCACACAGCCCAGCGAAAAACCUUGGCUAACAGUUAAAUCAACUGAGUAACCCUUUUAAUGCUGGCUAGAUCCUCCUAGGCAUAUAGUAUCCUAUUCUCAUGUAAUUUUCAAUUGAAAUAACAUUCGAACCAGCUCAUUAAUCAUUCCUGGAACCAUCCAAUAAGAAUAAUCUACCAGAUUUUUACAAAAGCCGAUUUUUUAUUUGCUUAAAAUGAUAUCUUAUCUUAUUUUAGAGUAAAUCAAUACACCUGGAUAAAAACAACGGUAUGCUAACACGUGAUACUAUCACAUUAAUAUAUAAUUAUUCUUAAUUCCACCUGCAGAAUGGAAUGUUUAUAACUAUAUAUUCUUUAGUUAACUGAGAUUUCUAAUUAUUGAAAUCUGACCGUGAUUUAUCCAGUCAUAUAUCAUGCUAUUAGAUUUUAAUUAAUUUAGAUUAAUUAAAUAAAACCAGCAUAAUUACCAGUUAUGUAGGUAUUCUUAUCAGAUGAGUAGGAAGUCCCAGAAACUUGAAUGCAAGUAUGAUUGGUUGUAUGGAGGUGUGUAAGUAAUAGAGAAAAAUGGUGUCGGUUAGAAAGUAUCAGUAAAAUUCUAAGUGUCAAGGAGUGUUUCUUGAGUUGUGUUCAAGAGAGUUUGAGAGUUGGAUGUUAGUCCCAGAGAGUGUCCUGAAUCUCUCUGUAUGUCCGAAUCUGAAUGCCCAAAAACUAACCUUCUCUCUUCCCUUUGUCCUAACUUUUAAAGGCCAGACUCUCUGUACGUCUUUACUUGAUAAGGCCAAUAGGAUACUGAAGGUGUGGUCAACCUGCAGAUCGCAAUUUAGGUAUUUGAUCCAUAGAGGGCAGUCUCGCCUCACUAAACCUUCCUAUCCAGGAAAGAGUUAACUUUUCCUGAUGACGAUUUUGACGUCAUUUGGCUUAUCUAAAAUGACUACCAUAACUUAAAUUUGCGGUCAGUUCAAAGCGUUUGUUUCAGUCUUUGUGGCAACGACUUUGAUCGUAAUUUUUAAAAUUGACAGUUCUAAACUCAAUUUCACCUCUUACUCACAAUGGGACCUUGUAAAAAUUAGAAAGUAAGAUUAAUUACUUAGUCUUCUCGGUCACUAGUGUCUGUGUUUAAAAUUAUUUCUAUUCCAUUAACAUUUAAACAGAGCAUUCCACCCCCCUGCUUCAUUGCUUAUAACUUGGCUUGUUUAUAUAAUGCAUUACUUAGCUCAGGCUAGUGGCUAGUUACAGAAAGCAAGAAUAAAUGAUGUGUCUUUGUUGGCCUGAAGAUCCAAAAUGGAGUCCUCUCUGUUCUGAGUGACUCUGGCAAUGUACACUUUUAAUUUCUAUCUUAGCACAAAAUGUCUGCCGAUAUAAAUAUCCUGACACUGCAUUACAGAUAGGCUAUUUGUGCUUUUUCCUGAUCACGUCUGGUGCCAUAAAAAGUUACAUGUUAUUCUGAACUUUUAAUGUUAAUGUUUUUGUUUGACAUCCAAAACUUAGUCUUAUUAUAUUUGUACCAGACAGGAUGACUUUUCAAUCUUUUUGUUUAACCAUGGUAGCAUUUAUAUUUGAUUAGACUUAUGUUUAAGGAACACUAUAGUCACCUAAAUUACUUUAGCUAAAUAAAGCAGUUUUAGUGUAUAGAUCAUUCCCCUGCAAUUUCACUGCUCAAUUUACUGUAAUUUAGGAGUUAAAUCACCUUUUUUUCUGUUUAUGCAGCCCUAGCCACACCUCCCCUGGCUAUGAUUGACAGAGCCUGCAUGAAAAAAAAACUGGUUUCACUUUCAAACAUGUAAUUUACCUUAAAUAAUUGUAUCUCAAUCUCUAAAUUGAACUUUAAUCACAAACAGGAGGCUCUUGCAGGGUCUAGUAAGCUAUUAACAUAGCAGGGGAUAAGAAAAUCUUAAUUAAACAGAACUUGCAAUAAAGAAAGCCUAAAGAGGGCUCUCUUUACAGGAAGUGAUUAUGGAAGGCUGUGCAAGUCACAUGCAGGGAGGUGUGACUAGGGUUCAUAAACAAAGGGAUUUAACUCCUAAAUGGCAGAGGAUUGAGCAGUGAGGCUGCAGGGGCAUGUUCUAUACACCAAAACUGCUUCAUUAAGCUAAAGUUAUUCAGGUGACUAUAGUGUCCCUUUAAGACAGAAAUACUGUAUGAGGUCCAUGGCUCACAUUCAGUUAAAACACUUUAAACUGUUAGAAGCUUACAGUAAAUGAUUUUUGCUUUGAUGUUGUAGAUAUGUUGAUGCUUGAUGCGUUACUUCUAUGAAAUCAGAAAGUAAUAAUAGUCAUAAUAAAUGCUUAUAGCAGACAAUGAUGCUAUUUAUAGAUGAGUGUGUUAACACCCAUGUGAAAUAUAAAAGCAGCCAGUUUGUGCCUAGAAUGUGUGACUCUGCAGUGCAGACUGUACCUGGUAUCUCGUCUUUACAUCUCCUCUGUGAGAAGAAUCAUCAUGUCUCAUCACUCCAUCCUUGGGAUCUCUGGACACAAGCAUUUCAGCUCCUGUUCAAUGGCUUCAGCUAAACAUGGGAGCUCACAGCACACAUUCUCUCUCUCCUCCAACUCUGAAAAUCAUGGUAAGAAGUCAAUACAUUGCUUUAGCAGCAGAAGUGCCUGUGGUAUGGGUUCCAAAGGACACAAAAUCUCACUGGGAAGUUUUUAUUCUGGGAAACAUGGACAUGCAUCUGGACAUGGAUCUGGACAUGGAGGUAUUGGCUAUGGAUUUGGGGGAUCAGCAUGCUCUGGAGGCAUCACCCCAGUUACUGUAAACCAAGGUCUUCUGGCCCCUCUCAACCUGGAGAUUGACCCAAGCAUCCAGAGAGUGAGGACUGAUGAAAGAAAUCAAAUUAGGGGGUCUGAAUGACAAAUUUGCUUCUUUUAUUGACAAGGUGAGUUUAUUUUACAUGAUAAAUAGACUAGAGAGAAACAUCUAACCAGCAGAAGAUACAAUAUAUUUUUUUUUAUUACACAUCUUUCGAAAAGCCAAUGCUCUUCUCUUGAAUCACUAUUAUCCUCUCAUGACAUGUUCUAUGAGAGGAACAGAGGAAUUUACAAUCUUUGUUUGCUGCAUGAGGUUCCACGGAUAUGGCUUUUAAAUAGUAUUUAUUGUAAAUGUUGAUUCUAACAUCAACCUAAGCUGUCUUCAUUCAUGUUUUUUUUAAUGUCUUCUAAGAUUGAGUUCUAGUAAAUUUGCUCCACAGACAAUUAUAAGAAUUGCAUGUUUGUUUGUUAAUGGCUAAUACGAUAGCAGCUAUAUUUUCUAUACCUCUGAAUAUUGAAGCAGUAAUACUUUAUAGUACAUGUUAAUUUUAAGUGUUUUGAUUUGCAUGUAUAUAUAUAUAUAUAUAUAUAUUGACAUAUUUAAAUUAUAUAACUUCUUUAUAAAAUGUGUUAUUCAAGAAAGCUAAAUUAAAAUCAAAUAAGUAAUGAAAUUAUUUCCAAUCAACUUUCUAAUUUGAACUUAGGUGCGAUUUCUGGAACAACAAAAUAAAAUGUUGGAGACUAAGUGGGCUCUCUUACAAGAACAAAAAACUGCCCAUUAUCAAAUUGAACCCCUGUUUGAAGCUUUUAUCAGUAACCUUAGGAGACAGCUGGGAAACCUGGGAUGUGAGAGAGAACGUCUAGAAGCAGAAAGGAACAAUAUGGAACAAUCUGUGGAAGAAUUACGGGGAAGGUAUGUUGUUUUUUGUUUGUUUGAUUUUUAAACAAUCAAUUUAUAUAGCUAUAUUCAUGCAUUUACCCAGAAACAAAUUUUUCUGUAUAAUCUCUAGUAUAUUAUUUCACUGUUAAAAAUGAAAAAAAUAUUUUCUAAAGGGGCACUAUAUAUAUAUAUAAAACCACUGUAAUUUAUUGUAGUGGAUUUAAAGCAAACAAUUUUGAGGCAAAAAAAGAGACUUCUGCCCACCAAGUUCUGCUUUUUUCACAUAUGUUUUUGCUGUUGAUCCAAAAGAAGGCAAAACACCCAGUCUGAAGCGCUUUCAGUUUUUCAACAAAUUGGGAAACACAAUUCCUUCUUGAGCCCAAAAUGGCAGUCAUAUUUAUCCUUGGAUCAAGCAGCUAUUACCCCACUAAUUAGAAAUGAUAUCCCUUGAUAUUAUGUUUCUGAAGUAUUUAUCAAAUUGCUGCUGAAACAUCUGUAUGGACUCUGAUAAAUCCACAUCUUCAUGCAGGGAAUCCCACAUUCUUAUUGUUCUUACUAGAAAAAAAAACAAAAAACACACUUUUCCUUGCCUUAGAUGAAAUCUCCAUUCUUCCAGACUAAAUGCGUGUCCUAUGUACAGCUCUGUUUAUGAAUAGAUUUCCAGAUAAUAGUUUGUAUUAGCCCCGAAUAUAUUUGUAUAAUGUUAUCAUAUCCCCUCUGAGACACCAUUUUUCCAAACUAAAGAGAUUUAAAUAUUUUAACUUUUCUUUAUAACUAAAAUGCUCUAUUCUACAGCUGCAUUAGCCUGUCCAACUUUGGACAGCAACAAUUGCCUGAAACUGCUAACAGUGUGCUCAGUGCAAUGUCUGCCAUUACCACCCAAAGCAGAGAGAUUGCAAGAAUGGGGAGAUCUCUGUUUUUGAGAGACUGCUAGAGAACAAUAUGACAUAACCUGAGGAAAUUUGCUGAAAGACUAUUUGCACUGUCAGUGCUAAAAUAAAACAUAGUUGCCAAGGAUACUUGCAGGUUUACUUGCUAACGUGAGACUGCAAAGUGACAUCAAAGUGAAUUUCAAAUUUAAGGUCAGAGUAGCCUAAGUGAAUGUAUAGUUGACUUAUAGUAUAGUUGACGUAUAGUUGACCAGUUCAGCUGUUUGACCUUAAAAUUGAAAUUUAGUUUGAAUAUUCCUUUUAGUAAAUAACCAGAUUGACCUUUUAACAUGUACACUAGCAAAACAUUUAAUUAAAACUGAAUUCAUUAAGAAGAAAGGUUUCUGCUAUGUAGCAAUUCUUAAUAAAUAUUAGUAAUAUUUAAUAUUCUAGGUAUGAAGAAGAAGUGAACAGACGCACCGCGGCAGAAAAUGAGUUUGUUGGACUAAAAAGGGUAAAAAGGAAACUCUAUAGAUUUCUAAAAUGUAAAUGAAUAAAUUAUUAUAGAACAGUAGCAAUCCCCUUAAUGUAUAUAUUUCCUUACUUCAGGAUGUAGACGCAGCUUUUAUGAACAGAGCUGAGUUACAAGGAAAGGCUGAGUCCCUGACUGAUGAGAUCAACUUCUUGAGGACUCUGUAUGAUGCGGUAAAUAUAUUUUCAGAUAUUUCAUAUCUGGAAUUUACUUAAAAGAUUUUAUUUUCUUGCAUAUUUGAAAAGUUCCAUAAAAACACUUUAUCUGCUUUUUAAUUUCUAGGAAAUUUCCCAGCUCCAGGCUCAGAUCUCAGACACCUCAGUGGUUGUGUCCAUGGAUAACAGUCGGGAUCUGGACCUGGAUGGAAUCAUUGCUGAGGUCAGAUCUCAAUAUGAGGACAUAGCUAACAGAAGCAGAGCUGAGGCGGAGGCCAUGUACCAGUCACGGGUGAGUCGAUUGAAGCUCAAACGCCAACUGAAUAGUAUGCAGAUUAUUAUUCACAGAGUAGCAUAAAACCAAAGCACAUUAUAUGUUUCACUUUUUGGGCAGUUUGAGGAGCUUCGUACAGCUGCAGGAAGAAAUGGAAAUAAUCUGCAGAGCAGCCGAGAUGAGAUCUGUGAGCUGAAUCGAACAAUUCAAAGAAUGAAGGGAGAGAUUGACAGUGUGAAGGCUCAGGUAAAACUAGGGGACACAUGAGUUACUAAGGUACUAAUAAAGCAUAACUGACUGAAACCCAUACAUAUUGAAUUACAUGUAAGGCAGAGACAUAUUGAAUAGUUUUUAAUUAUGAUUAUUGGAAAAAACAAUUAAAAAAGCAAGUAACUUAUUGGAAUAUUAAAUGGUUUAUUAGCGCUCUGCACUUGAAUCAGCAAUAAAUGAAGCUGAGGAACGUGGAGAAUCUGCUGUCAGAGAUGCCAAGAACAAACUGUCUGAGCUGGAAGGUGCUCUACAGAAGGCCAAGCAGGACAUGGCUCGCCAACUGCGAGAAUACCAGGAGUUGAUGAAUGUGAAACUGGCUUUGGAUAUUGAGAUCGCCACCUACAGGAAGAUGCUGGAAGGAGAGGAGGGCAGGUGAGUUACGAAGUCCUUAACAAAUUAAUUAUCCGUGUAUGACAGUGGGUUGAUUUCACUGAUGCAAGAUAUUUUAUGCCAUGCUGCAUUCUAAGGAAUUAAUGUUCUAUUUAUUUCAUUGUGUUCUGUCCGUGCGAGCAAGGCUUGAUACCCUUAUUCCAAAAGUGUCCAUUAAUACCUGAGAUUAUUAAUUUUAGCUGGAGAAAUUUAAGAUCCCUGCACUGACUAGUGAAAUGUAAUUUAUUUAAAAAAAAGACAUACCUUUUGCAUUGACAAUUGAACUUCCUUGUUCAUCAGUCCUCAAUUAUGGUAUCAUCACUGACAUCCACAAGUUAGCAACCAGAGAAGAGCUCACAGGGUCUGAGGAGUUUCCCGAUGAUCACCAUGCAUGUGCUAAAAAGUUUCAGAGCUUGGGCCCAUAGCACAAGGAAGGAAAUAUGUUUUUCUACUCUGCUCCUUGUAUUUUAAAACAUUAUCAAGGAUGUUAAAGUAUUGUGCAUGAUCCAGGCAUACCGUAGUGAUGCUAUCGCUAUAGUUAUCAUGUUAUUAAAAUAUCUCUGAGCCAUUAUGUAAUAGAGAGGAAAAGGUUUAAAAUGAUGUCAAAGUGAAAAAGAAUAACACAUUUUAUGAACCAUGUGUAUUUUCUUAUAAAAGAUGAUAGAGCAGAAACUCAUAUCGAGUGGGUUUAUAUUAAGAGAAAAAGAGAAUGUGAAGAAAUAUUGUUUUAAAAAGUUAUAAUUAAUUUGAACUAUAACACAGUGCCCCAUUAAAAUGGCCUUGUGUAUAAAGGGACAACAUAGAAACAUAGAAUGUGACGGCAGAUAAGAACCAUUUGGCCCAUCUAGUCUGCCCAAUUUUCUAAAUGCUUUCAUUAGUCCCUAGCCUUAUCUUAUAGUUAGGAUAGCCUUAUGCCUAUCCCACGCAUGCUUAAACUCCUUUACUGUGUUAACCUCUACCACUUCAGCUGGAAGGCUAUUCCAUGCAUCCACUACCCUCUCAGUAAAGUAAUACUUCCUGAUAUUAUUUUUAAACCUUUGUCCCUCUAAUUUAAGACUAUGUCCUCUUGUUGUGGUAGUUUUUCUUCUUUUAAAUAUAGUCUCCUCCUUUACUGUGUUGAUUCCCUUUAUAUAUUUAAAUGUUUCUAUCAUAUCCCCCCCGUCUCGUCUUUCCUCCAAGCUAUACAUGUUAAGAUCCUUUAACCUUUCCUGGUAAGUUUUAUCCCGCAAUCCAUGAACCAGUUUAGUAGCCCUUCUCUAAAAUGGUUCAUGGAUUGCAGGAUAAAACAACCACAUUGGAAAUUUCAUUACAAGUAUUCGCUCCUGUUAGCUAAUUAGAGAGAUAAUUAUCCACUACUAAAAUAAUGUGUUUAUGUUUUAUUUCAGGAUGACUGCUCAUGGUUCCGUUAAUAUAUGUAAGUGAUACAAUACUUGAGAACAUUGAAUCUUAGAACAAAAAUCUCUCCAUACAUUUCUUUCUAUUGAUACAGACAGUAUUAUCAAUAGUUAUUAAGGUGUUAGGUAUUUGUAUUUAUUGUCAUUUCUAUUUGGAUAAUAACUUGUAGCAUUAUUGUGUUUCAGCCGUGCUUCACUCCAGCACUGGAGGAAAACACAGCUCAGGAGAGAAGUCCCACGGUACUAGUGGCCAACAUUACAGUGGAGGAUCCAGCGCAAGCAUCUCGAAAAGCAGAAACAGCUCUGGCCACGGACACCACUGCUAAAGUUCAAUAGAUGCACUUCAGGGUUAUUCAAUAAAUUUGAGUUUAACAUUUCUAACCAAAAAAGACAAAAUUUUAAAUAUUGUCAACUAUGAUUUGGAUUUAUCUAUUUUUUUGUAAUCUAAAAUUUGAAAUGAUCUUUGAAUUCACUUUUAAUUCCCCCCAAAAAAUCACACUUCAGUUAAUAACCCUGAUAGAAAUUGCCAGUGUGAUAGCUCAGUGGGCUAAUGCAUCAUCAGUAGAAUCUGUUCAACCCAGUAGGGUUGACUCAGCCCUUCAUCCUUCCGAGGUAGAUAAAAUGAGUACCAUUAAAUUGGGUAAUAGUAACAACCCCUGGAUGUUGGGCUAUGGUAACAUCCCCAAGACGUACUUGAAAACUAUAGUAAUCUGAAUGUGCCUUUCCUGGUUAAAUACUUUGUUAUUAUUAUUAUUAAAUUGCUAAAAUGAAAGCAUAGAUUUUAGUGAAAGCACUAAUUUUGAUUUUAAGGUGCAUUUAUUGCUUAAUUUUCUUGCAGUUCAAACAUAUUAAUCAACUUCCUUUCUGUUUAAUUGUCUUUAUUUCGUUUGAAUACAAUAAUCACUUGUUUCUUAUCGGUAAUGUGUCUCUGCAAUAAAACUUUAC